UUGUGAGACUCCGAUCUCGGUGCUUCUCGACAUGGACAGAUACAGUGCUCGUCUUGAUGUGGUGUCUUACGCGGUUCUCCUUUUGCGUGGAUGGCAGGAAGUCUCCAUGGCUAAAUAUAUCCUGCAGCAAUACAUCGCGGCGUCGGGAGGGGAGCGAGCGUUGAACGCGAUAAACAGCAUGUACGCCAUGGGGAAGGUCCGGAUGAUGGCGUCGGAGUUCCCCAAGGGGAACGGGGGCGGAAAGAGGGGCAAGAAAUGUGGCGGCGCAGUGGAGACGGGCGGGUUCGUGCUGUGGCAGAAGAAACCAGACCUGUGGUGCCUGGAGUUGAUGGUGUCCGGGUGCAAGAUCAGCGCCGGGAGCGACGGCAAGGUGGCGUGGAGGCAAACCCCAUGGCACCAGUCUCACGCC
rnacentral:lncRNA from 1 species